rfam:Gasterosteus aculeatus cont1.000468, whole genome shotgun sequence.
UUAACAAUGCAAUGUAAGUCGCUUUGGAUAAAAGCGUCAGCUAAAUGACAUGUU